UGGGGAAUAUUGCACAAUGGGGGAAACCCUUAUGCAGCGACGCCGCGUGAGCGAAGAAGGUUUUCGAAUCGUAAAGCUCUGUCCUAUGGGAAGAUAAUGACGGUACCAUAGGAGGAAGCCCCGGCUAACUACGUGCCAGCAGCCGCGGUAAUACGUAGGGGGCAAGCGUUGUCCGGAAUCACUGGGCGUAAAGGGUUCGCAGGCGGAAAUGCAAGUCAGUUGUGAAAGGCAGAGGCUCAACCUCUGUAAGCAAUUGAAACUGUAUUUCUUGAGAUGUGGAGAGGCAAGUGGAAUUCCUAGUGUAGCGGUGAAAUGCGUAGAUAUUAGGAAGAAUACCGGUGGCGAAGGCGACUUGCUGGACACAAACUGACGCUGAGGAACGAAAGCGUGGGUAGCAAACAGG
rnacentral:rRNA from 1 species